rnacentral:rRNA from 1 species
GAUGAACGCUGGCGGCGUGCCUAAUACAUGCAAGUCGAGCGAACGGACGCGAAGCUUGCUUCUCUGAUGUUAGCGGCGGACGGGUGAGUAACACGUGGAUAACCUACCUAUCAGACUGGGAUAUCUUCGGGAAACCGGAGCUAAUACCGGAUAAUAUUUUGAACCGCAUGGUUCAAAAGUGAAAGACGGUCUUGCUGUCACUUAUAGAUGGAUCCGCGCUGCAUUAGCUAGUUGGUAAGGUAACGGCUUACCAAGGCAACGAUGCAUAGCCGACCUGAGAGGGUGAUCGGCCACACUGGAACUGAGACACGGUCCAGACUCCUACGGGAGGCAGCAGUAGGGAAUCUUCCGCAAUGGGCGAAAGCCUGACGGAGCAACGCCGCGUGAGUGAUGAAGGUCUUCGGAUCGUAAAACUCUGUUAUUAGGGAAGAACAUAUGUGUAAGUAACUGUGCACAUCUUGACGGUACCUAAUCAGAAAGCCACGGCUAACUACGUG